UGCCAGCACCCCGAGUGGUCGGGACGUUUAUUGGGCCUAAAGCAUCCGUAGCCGGUUCUACAAGUCUUCCGUUAAAUCCAACUGCUUAACAGGUGGGCUGCGGAAGAUACUAUAGAGCUAGGAGGCGGGAGAGGCAAGCGGUACUCGAUGGGUAGGGGUAAAAUCCGUUGAUCCAUUGAAGACCACCAGUGGCGAAGGCGGCUUGCCAGAACGCGCUCGACGGUGAGGGAUGAAAGCUGGGGGAGCAAACCGG
rnacentral:rRNA from 1 species